rnacentral:misc_RNA from 1 species
UUUCUUUUUUUUUUUUUUGUUGGUUCUCUGCUUUUGUUGUUUAUUUCAUUUUUACUGCAUUGCGUGUGUAUAAUGUUCUAUUUUGGAUAGAUAUGUGCCUAUUUCGAGCUAAUGCUUGAAAGGGCCAAAUAUUGGAGAUAUGCCAUUAUCAUAUGCGCAUUGUGAAAGGUUCUGUAGAAUCCUUGAUUGAUACUUUUCUUUUGGCAGUUGCCCGUGUCAGAUGUAUGAAACCUAAUCAUAAAGUGCAGACCAAGUGAUCCUACACCUGCUCGCUUAUGCAGCUAAACGUGGGUUCAAUGUGAA